AUGGCCAUAUCAUGUUGAAACAUGGUUUCCAUAUGAUCACCAAAGUUAAGCAACAUCAAGCUUGGUCAGUACUUAAAUGGGUGGCUGCUUGGGAAUACCAGAUGU